GGGCCCAGGCGCAGGUGCGGCUGGAGGAGUCCGGGGGCGGCGCUGCGAACACAGGCGGCUCCAGGCGGCUCUCCUGCACCGGCUCCGGAUUCACUUUCAGCAGCUACGACAUGUUCUGGUACCGGCAGCGCCCCGGGGAAGGGCUGGAAUGGGUCUCCUGGAUUAGCAGCACUGGCGGCAGCACAGAUUACCCUGACUCGGUGAAAGGGCGAUUCACCGUCACCAGGGACAACGCCAAGAACCAGCUGUAUCUGCAAAUGAGCCGCCUGGGACCCGAGGACACCGCCCGGUAUCACUGCGCUGCGAGAGACACAGUGCGGGGAAGCCAGGCUGAGCUCUGACAAAAACUCGCUGCGUUCAGCCCAGGGGAUUCGGGAGCCUCUACUGACUACCAUCCCUGUGCCCCUCCUCCCGCAAGGGUCCCUGUGGGGCCCACUGAGGUCACUCAAUUAGGGGGAACUGCAAAGACUGGUGGAUGCCAUGCCCCGCCUCCCUGUUUGGGGAGGCAUAGGCUCCCCCAGCCUUCCUUACCCACCCUCCAUACAAUUUCUGUACCCGAUGUGGCUCUAGGGCCAAAAAGUUUGCCCACCUCUGCUCUAAAUGUUAAUAUUCCCGUUUGAUCUCUGAAUUAGUGGCUAUAGAGACAGACAGGGACUGUCCGUUUUCGCCUGUAGCAUCUAAGA